GGGGCUUAAGGGUGCUGGUCCGCUCCCGAAAGCGAUGCCAGGGCUCUGUUGGUGAAGACAGAAGAGUAGAAAGAAGAACGUAUCAGCAUUGACGGGGGCGGAUACUUCCUCCGGGAUUGCCCAGUCGCAGAGCUGGAGCAGUUUCUAUAAAUGCUUGAGUCCCGCGGUCUUUCGGUCUUUCAGGAUCUAGCAAGCGGUGGAAGGUGUCGGUCUAUGUUCAAGUGAUGCACGUUGGAGGCGGGACCCUGGCCCGGAGGGGCCCGGGAAGGUGGUCUAAAUUCGGCCAACCUGGCCCCCGGGCUCCUCCCUCAGCCCGAGCUCCCACGUUGAUCUUCAGCUCUGUACGCUCCUCUGCCUCCUGCUCGCCCCAGUUCCGUCGGAAGUCCAAAUUGUUAAUGCUUCCCAGAGGACUGUCGGUGACCUGGCUAGAGACCUUGAGGUCAGCGUCCCUCUAAGGGGCCUUGGUGCCCUGACGGGAAUCCUUGGAUUCCAGGUAAAUCCAGGGCCUUUUCCAGCUGUGACUGGGGGAUGUCUGGCUUCUCCCUCUCUUCCUGCUUUCUGCCUUGCUUUUUUUCUAAGUCUUCCCUCUUAGGAGGAAGGCUGGUGUUUCGUGCCUUUUGGGAAGAUAAUUUCUUGAACCUCACUCGCAAACUGCCUUGGUCAAACUCAAUGCUAUGUCGGUAGAAUUUAUACUUCCCUUUAGGCAUUAUCAGGAAUGCAGGGUGAAUGACUUGGGACCCUCCUGUCUCCCACCUCACCUUCUGCCUUCGUGCCACCUUCUGUUACUCCCAAUUCCAGUUCCUCCAAGUUAUUUUCAUUCCUUCUGGGACCCCCUUCACUUCCAGCCUGUGCAGUAUAUUCCCACCUGCAAGCACCCUAUUAACCUGGUCAUUUCCAUGCAGCCCAGUCCCCUGGGGACACACUCAAGUAUAGGAAAAUAAGAGAGACCUUAAGGUCAGCUCAGCUAACUGCUAUGUAUCAAGUUUGAUACUCAAGAUUUUCUAAAAACCCUUCAGAGGCUGUCCCUGAAAGAGAACAGGGUUUUUUUCCUCUUGGGUCACUUUCUUGAUCUUUUUCAGUGUUAACUGGCUUUCAAAUAUACUUUCUAAUUCCUUCUAACAGGCUGACCUCUCUGCUCCCUAGGGUCAGUCCCCCUGAAACUCUGCAAAAACUCAGUUACAAUUAGACCCACAAACACAAAUGCCAUAGCUCCUAGAGGUGGCCUUUGAAGUAUUUAGUGAUGGAGGAGAAGGAAAGGACUCACUAUAAAAAAGCCAGGCCAAGACUCAAACUAAAUAGAUGGCCUUUGCUCUCGGCAAUGCUUCAUAACCUCAGGGCGACCCAAAGUGGGCAGGAGAGGUCAACCAUCAGUCUGGAGGUGAGACCAAUAAGGGGGGUUUAGGUGUAAGCCAACUAACCAUUGGCCAGUGAGUACCAGGAGGCCCCGGGCCAUGCCCACUCUACACACAGGCCAGUCACUGGGGAUGGGACUGCCGUUGGUUGCUAAGGAGGGGCCCCUUCUCCUGGGAUGGCCAUGCUGGAAGCCCAGGGAUUCAGGUUGCUCCCCUGCCACAAGAUGUCUGUAUCCAUCGAGGAGCCCCUGAUGGCAGGUAAGAAUAUAUAUUUUUUAAUACAGGAGCCACUUUGUCCAGAUUUCUCAUGCUGGGCCUCCUUCCUGGUGACUAGCUGAUGGAAAUCCUUGCCCCCUUUACUUCACUGAGCUCUCACAUGCCUUUUGAGUUGAGUGUCCUACUCCACUAUCAAGGAGAGACCUGGGCUCCCUCCCCACAUGGCGGUUAGGAGGCCUUAAGCAGCCUCUAACCUUGACCCUGGCUAAGGCUGAUCCACAGGAAGAGCGAGGGCCUGUUCCCAAGCAGAGUCUGCAAGCUGUGAACACUGCAGUUUGAAACAGGUCCCUGGAAGGCCAUAAAUGCCCAACCGGUGGAAACUCACCUUAAGCCAGAAGCUGCCAUAAGAUUAGAUGGGAAAGGUUACAACCCUAAACAGAUGCAUUCUUAAAACAUAGGCUCUUGGUGCUCUGUCUGAAUCCAAGAGCCCCAUUCUGUCAGUUAGCCAAAUGAGGGAUACAGGAUGGUGUGAGACCUCAGCAGGAAGAUGCAGUGGUCCCUGUACACCCCCUUGUGGCCAAUCCUUAUAAAACUCCCUGAAGAUGCUAUGUGAUUCACUCUCUGACCUUAAAUCCCAGUUGACCCCUCACAGUAUCAGAUUGCCUUUGAGCGGACUAACCCCACCCUGGACCAGAUGCAACAGUGCACUUGGUGGACAGAAGUACCCACCACAGGGGUGUUGGGACAUCAACACUUGUUUGCCCAAACCCUAAGAAAGGAAUUAAAGAAGAUAUGCUAAAAGGGACUGUUCUACAGUCUGUCGAUAUAUGUUGGUAUGGAGGCUCAGGUGAGAAUGACAUUGAAGUUCUUAAUUUCCUUCAAGCCUGGGGUUACCGGUUCUUCCAGAAAAAGGCACAGAUUUCAUAGCAACAAGUUCAAUACAUGGAAUAUAUUAGAACUCCUGAAAAUAGACAGCUGUUCUAAGAGAGAAGAGCUACAUUAGGUUUGAGUGCCCCCAAAGAUGUUUUUUUGUACUUACAAAAUUAGCCCUCUGUAAAGCUCCUGCUCUGGGUCUCUUUAAAAAGCCAUUUUGUAUCUGGCUGGAAAGGAAGGAACUACUCUGGAGGGUAGGGUCCUAAUACAGCUGGGAGAUGUUCCUCAGCCAAUAGGCUAUUUUUCCAAGCAACUAGAUUCAGUGGCUCCAGGUUGGCCUGGCAGUAGCUGCUGUCAAUUUGAUUACUGGAGGAGGCUAACAAGCUUAACCCUUGGAAAGUGAAAGUCGCUCAGUCUUUGCGACUUUUUGUGACCCCAUGGACUACACAGUUCAUGGAAUUCUCCAGGCCAGAAUACUGGAGUGGGUGGCCGGUCUCUUUUUUGAGUUGUCAUGAUCCAGCAGUCCAACUCCUGGGCACAUACCCAGACAAAACAAUUAUUCAAAAAGAUAACAUGCACUCUGUUAAAAUGUCUUUUCAUAAUGAAGAGCAAAAAAAAAAAAAAA